ACAACAGGUUGAAAUUCCUGUACCACCGUGAACCGUUAUGAGCAAUGGGGUGACGCAGAAGGAUAGUGACGCGAGCUGAUGGAUGCUCGUCCAAGCAGUGAGGCUGGUGUGUAGGCAAAUCCGCACACCGUAAGGCUGGGCUGUGAUGGGGAGGGAAAUUUAAGUACCGAAGGUCAUGAGUUCAGGCUGCCAAGAAAAGCCUCUAGCCAGGGAGAAGGUGCCCGUACCGCAAACCGACA
rnacentral:rRNA from 1 species